GGACUACUGGGGUAUCUAAUCCUGUUUGAUCCCCACGCUUUCGGGUCUCAGUGUCAAUGUUGGGCCAGGUAGCCGCCUUCGCCACCGGUGUUCCUCCAGAUAUCUACGUAUUUCACCACUACACCUGGAAUUCCACUACCCUCUCCCACAUUCAAGCUCUGCAGUAUCAAAAGCACUUCCCGGGUUAAGCCCGGGGCUUUCACUUCUGACUUAUAGAGCCACCUACACCCGCUUUACGCCCAAUGAUUCCGAACAACGCUUGGACCCCUCGUCUUACCGCGGCUGCUGGCAC
rnacentral:rRNA from 1 species